GGCGGAGUAGCUCAAGGGGUAGAGCACUUGCCUGGCAAGCAUGAGGUCCUGAGUUCAAACCUCAGUACUGCCC